CGUUUAAUCGGAAUUACUGGGCGUAAAGCGCACGUAGUCGGCUUUGCAAGUCGGGUGUGAAAUCCCCGGGCUCAACCUGGGAACUGCAUCCGAGACUGCAUUGCUAGAGUAUGGGAGAGGGAAGCGGAAUUUCUGGUGUAGCAGUGAAAUGCGUAGAUAUCAGAAGGAACAUCAGUGGCGAAGGCGGCUUCCUGGACCAAUACUGACGAUCAGGUGCGAAAGCGUGGGGAGCAAACAG
rnacentral:rRNA from 1 species